AUUGAACGCUGGCGGCAUGCUUUACACAUGCAAGUCGAACGGUAACAGGCCUUCGGGUGCUGACGAGUGGCGAACGGGUGAGUAAUGCAUCGGAACGUACCCAGAGGUGGGGGAUAACGCAGCGAAAGCUGUGCUAAUACCGCAUGUGAUCUGAGGAUGAAAGCGGGGGACCGAGCAGCAAUUUUUGGCCUCGCGCCUUUGGAGCGGCCGAUGUCGGAUUAGCUAGUUGGUGGGGUAAAGGCCUACCAAGGCGACGAUCCGUAGCUGGUCUGAGAGGACGACCAGCCACACUGGGACUGAGACACGGCCCAGACUCCUACGGGAGGCAGCAGUGGGGAAUUUUGGACAAUGGGCGCAAGCCUGAUCCAGCAAUGCCGCGUGCGGGAAGAAGGCCUUCGGGUUGUAAACCGCUUUUGGCAGGAACGAAACGGUGUCCGCUAAUACCGGGCGCUAAUGACGGUACCUGCAGAAUAAGCACCGGCUAACUACGUG
rnacentral:rRNA from 1 species